UGAUCCUGGCUCAGAUUGAACGCUGGCGGCAUGCCUUACACAUGCAAGUCGAACGGCAGCACGGACUUCGGUCUGGUGGCGAGUGGCGAACGGGUGAGUAAUGUAUCGGAACGUACCUUUCAGUGGGGGAUAACGUAGCGAAAGUUACGCUAAUACCGCAUAUUCUGUGAGCAGGAAAGCAGGGGAUCGCAAGACCUUGCGCUGAUUGAGCGGCCGAUAUCAGAUUAGCUAGUUGGUGGGGUAAAGGCCUACCAAGGCUACGAUCUGUAGCGGGUCUGAGAGGAUGAUCCGCCACAC
rnacentral:rRNA from 1 species